AAGAGUCAGACGCUUAACGGACUGAGCCACCCAGGCGUCCCGAGAUAGUUCUUUUUUAACGCAGUCACUUAGCGCAUGAGUGUCCUUCUAGCAACGCUUAGCCACACCAUGCACGUGUGGGCCUGUUGGGUCUCGUUUUUGUUUUAUCUCGAAGUAUUCGGAGGCUUACUUUCUGAUUUAUCCUUGGACUCCUUAGUUAUUUACUAUUUAGGGCGUGUCAUCUAACACGUCGCUUCGAGCUUCCCGGUUUGGUUACCAUUUCGUGUCGGUCACAGAACACAGCGCUGUUUCCGUCCUUUCUCGCGAUGGAGGUUUAUUUGCGGCCAGCACGUGGUCUGUGCCAGAGAACGUUCCGUGCGUGCUCACGAAAGGUGUCUCCUGUGGUUGGUGGGGCGCCCCGUGGAAGGCUGGCAGGUUUUCUGUGCGCUUGGGUCUAUUUCCCGGUGAUGGUGUCCUGGCCACAUCUGUUGUGGGCCGCGGGGGGUGUUGAAGGCUCCCGCCGUGGUUGUCGAAAGGUCUCUUGCACUCCCAUUCCUGCCCCUUUUGCUCCACAGAUCCUGGAGAUGUGCUGGUGGGUGCUCUGCAAUUGUCUCUUCCUCGCGGACGGUCGCACAGCGUCCUGCUGACCCCCAGCAGUAUAUUUGGCCCAAGUCUAUUGUGUUUGCCACCGGGGCGGCCACUCCAGCCUUCCCGCGUCUGCCUCUGAGUGAUGCACCCGUUUCCGUCAUUUUACUCUCGACGCGUUUGCAUCUCGGCUCUGCAGCGUGUCUCGAAAGUGGCCGUGUUCCCAGCUCCUACGUCACCUGCCGGUCUGCCGACGGCUGGGGCGAGUUUGAAGCCCCGGGUCCCUCGUGCACGUUUUCUCAUCUGGUUUUCACGCUGCUCGGCGCACUAGGCCUGCUGCCUGCCUUUCCAGAAGCACGGGCUGAGGUGCACGCACUGUGGCGGAGCCCCCCUCCCGGACCCCUGUCCCCGCACAGACGCUCAGCCCGGCCGAGGCCCGGCCGCUCCAGUCUCUGGCAUCUCUCCGUCCCGCGGCGGUAGGAGGUGGGGGAG